GAACUCCUGGGCUCAAGCGAUCCGCCCACCUCGGUCUUCGAAAGUGCUGGGAUUCCAGGCGUGAGCCGCCGCGCCGGCCUUAACAGCGCAUUUUCACCAGCCCCGCCCCGGCCGCGCGCGGCACUGGAAACCCCAGCGCCUUCUGGACGGCGAGGGUGACGCACUGGCCCUCUUCCUCGGUGUCCUCAGGUGCGUGGCGGCGGCAGUGAGAAUGAGUUCUUCGAGAUCGCCGGGAGACCACACAAUAACGACGAAGUUACUUGCCGGGCUACCCGCCGAGACUUGAAAACUUCGCGGCGACUUCUCUCGCCGGCCUUAGCAUCGCCCCCAUUUUUCAGGUUACAGGACAGGCCUGCAACUGCAAAACGCUUUGUAAACCACAGGGCCCCGCGCGGGUGUGCGCCACUGGGCCCCCACUGGUCGCGUCCGGCGCUGGAGGAGCCCAGUCAGCCGGCGCCUGCCGGGUUAGCACGUGGACUCCGAGGGGCCAACUAUCAGCUUUCCCUGACAAAAUGCCUUUGAGCUCCCCCACAGCUCUGAAACUCCAGCUUGGGAGCAGGGAGAGUGCAAUCUGUGACCUGUAAAGGGGCGCUGGGCAAAAGGGCCCGAGAGAAGGCGUCCUUUCCAUUCCCUUCCCAUCUCAAGCUGAGUUCAGAAAUGACACGAAAUAAUUUAAUCAACUAUCAGUCAAGGUCGGGCUCACGCCUGUAAUCCCAGCAGUUUGGGAGGCCGAGGUGGGCGGAUCACCUGAGGACAGGAGUUCGAGACCAGCCUGACCAACAUGACGAAGCCCCGUCUCUACUAAAAAUACAAAAAUUAGCCAGCGGUGGUGGUGCGCACCUGUAGUCUCAGCUACUUGGGAGGCUGAGGCCAGAGAAUCGCUUGAGCCCGCGAGGUCGAGGCUGCAGUGAGCCGAGAUCACACCACUGCACUCCAACCUGGAUGACAGAGGGAGACUCUGUCUCAAAAAAUAAUAAAUAAAUAAAUAAAUAAAUAAACUAUCGGUCAAG
rnacentral:lncRNA from 1 species